UGCCCCUCCCCCCUUACCCCGCGUCGAGCGCCUCUCUGCACUGCGCGUCACCCUCAUCCUUCCCCCGCGCCGUCCACCUCCCUCCACCGCGCGCCGCCACCCUCCUUCCCUGCGCCGACCGCCUCUCUGCACCGCGCGCCGGCCACUUCCCUCCCCCGCGCACCGCACUCCUCCUUCCCCAACGCCCGCCACCUACCUCCAUCGUGCACUCCCGACUUCCUCGUUCAUCCCGCUGUCAUAUCUCGGGCGCCGCCCUCCGGCAACCGGUGAUGCUCCUCCCGCCACCACUAUGCCUCCUUCCCGAUGGAGCUACGCCGCCGCCGCGUGCAGGAAGUCCAUCGCCUCCACCCCAGGCCGUUCAAUGCCAUCGUCGUGGACGUGCCCCGCUCUAACACCAUGGAUUGCGAUUGAGCGGCAAACAAUGGAGCCUGCAGAAGGAGCCGCGGGGUCGAGGACCUCCAGUUCGUCAGUCCAACAAAAGGCUGUAGAAAGUUGAGACUAGUUUGCAUUAAGUACAAGUUUGGAAAGCCAGGAUGUUCUACCGCUGGCAUACACCAAGUUCAGAGAUGUUGCACGGAGUGAGCCGACACCGCCGUAAAAAAUGGUUUAUUAGCAUACUGUUGUUUGGUACUUAUGCAUACUGUUGUAGAAGUGAAAAUUGUUGGGUGCAUGUGCAGAAAAAUUGUCAGUUCAGUUUUCAAAAUUCUGUAAGUUUGUUUUUAUUUUAUAAAAUUCUGUAGGUUUCUCGUGUGUGCAGCUACAAAUCUGAACUAUUUGUCUAGACAUUCUAGUACUGAUGCAAUCGCCUAAAAUAAGUUCAAGAAAAAAUCAGUAAGUUUGGUGCGUGUGCUGCUACAAAUCUAAAAUUCUUCUUGAGUCAUUCUAGUAUUGGAAUCUCUUUUAGUCUGUAGCAUAGAGAAUAUUUUUAUGCUCAUUCGUUCAUAGUAUGAAGCUCAUUUAUAGUUUCUUUUCUCAUUCUGUUAAUUAAGAAAAUGCUUAUUGACCUUGAAGCAUAAACCUCUCGGCAAUGUAACAUUCUGCUGAUAUUUUAAUAACCGGUAAGCUGUCGUAGUGGGACAAGGUCAUCAUCUUGAGGAGGUCAGUGAGGCUGGUGCUGCUUGAAACGGAUGCGACUAACCUGUAGAAAGCAUUACAGGAAGUGAUUUAAGAGAUGAAUGUGGUCAACGACGGUCGCCGCUCCUCGACCCUAUUCUCGUUCGUCACCCAGCUCAACAGUCCACCUCGGUGCUCCACCACCGGUCCCUCGAAGAGCUGGCUGCAGGCCAUCCAUUGCUCCGCCCUGGAUGCUGCCAUGUGGUGGCUGGCCGUCUCACUCCAAUGCACCUCCCUCUCUUUGUGUACUGGUCUCUCUCAAGACUGGAAGUUAUCCCUGAUGUACUCAACACAAGUUCAACAUCAUCAUCUAAAAAGGAAGCAAAAAAGAAAAUCUAUUUACUCACGGAUGCAGACAAAUUUCCGGAGCACAAUAGACUCAUCGGCGCAUGAGUGACCAUUCAUUCAACAACAGUUCAAUUACAAAAAGAACAUCAGUUCAAAAAAAUAUAUGCAAGAGGAGGUUCAAAGAUGGUCAUGUAGCAAGUUAAGAGUUUGGUUUCAUGAGAAAAAUGUGUUUUUUGGUCAGGAUUUUGCAUGAUUGAUAGCCAUAAGUGGCAGCCGGCGAGCAGUUCAAGCUGUCUGUUUGAUAGCCAUAAGGGAUGGUCAUCAUUUUCCACAUCCAUCUGGACUGAAUUAUGUUACUCCCUCUGUUCACUUUUGUAAGUCCUUUAGGACAGCUGAAAUUGAACUGUUUUAGGUGUUGUCUUAAAUGUCUAAAUGGUCUUACAAAAGUGAACGGAGGGAGUAGUCUUUUUCAGUUCAUCUUUGAAAUUUUGGUCCGUUUUCUUUUUGCAGGAUGCGUCGAAAAAUAAAAUAAAAGGCAGCAGCUCAAAAAUAGAUGAAUAUUGGAAGUCCGUUGCUAUCUUGAGUUCAUCUUGCAGGUGUUUUGGGCAGUACAAAAUACAUCACCAUAGUUAGUACAGCAAGGAUGGCUUGGUAGUCGCUGGGAUUCCCUGCAGUGGCCAAAUCCCGGUGCCGCUCGUGAUCUCCGCCUCCAUCAGCUCCACCUCGCCGUAGCAAUCAGUCCAGAGGAGGAGGUGUAGCUAGUUCACCCGGUCCAUCCGAUUUUUCUUUCAACAUUUUCUUUGUGAUGCAUGCUCACUGAUGGAUCAACAACUAUUUAUUGACAUGGAGAUGCGCUCCUGCUUUUUUUGAAAAACAAGAUGCCUUUGCAUACUUCAAAGUUGCUGCUUGCUCCCACCUGUCAAUUGUGCAAGUUCAGUGGGUGUCGUCGAGCAUGUUCAGAAGUAUGCCCUUUGUGCAGAAGUGUGAAUUUUUGUCAGUAGUAUAUUUCAUAGUAGAGGCUUCAUGUGAUCCUGUGGAGCUUUAUAGAUGUACUGUCAUUACACUUUUUAGGCCCUAUAGUUCAUUAUAUCAUAUAUGUGUGGCCAUUCAGUAUGUAUUACAGAAUCAGUUCUUAAAAAAGAAGAACACAUACAUAGUUCGGUCAAAAAGAAUGAUCAGUUCGAUA